rnacentral:lncRNA from 1 species
AUUUUGUUUUAGCUUUUACACUCUAUUAAGGCCUUCAACUGAUUGAAUGAGGCCCACUCUCCUUGGGGAGGACCACCUUCUCUACUCACUCUAAAAAUUCACUGCUAAUCUCAUCCAGAAACGUCCUUCGGGAGAUACUCAGAAUGAUGUUUGAUCAAAUGUCUAGGCGCCCCAGUCUAGUUGACAGAUAAAAUUAACCAGACUCAUUGUCUGGUAAUAUAGUCUUGCAACAUAGCUGUUCAAGUCUUUAGCUCAUUUCUGAUUGGAUUAUAUGGUUUUUUUUAAUUGUUGUUCUUGAUUUAUAAGAAUUCUUUAUAUAUUCUGAAUCUGAGUCUUAAUUGGAUACCUGUGUGGCAAAUUCUUCCAGUGGCUGGCCUUUUCAGUGCUACCUAAUCUUUCUGUCUUUUCUUUAUGGUCAAUGAUUGUUUUUCAUUUAAAAAAUGUGUGCCAGUUGCUCUCUGAGGUAACGUGCUGGUUCGUGUGGUCUUUGUGAAAUUCCACCAUGGCGUACCGUGGCCAGGGCCAGAAGGUCCAGAAGGUGAUGGUGUAGCCCAUCAACCUCAUCUUCAGAUACUUGCAAAACAGAUCCCGGAUUCAGGUGUGGCUCUAUGAGCAAGUGAAUAUGCGGAUAGAGGGCUGUAUUAUUGGUUUCGAUGAUGCAGAAGAGAUUCAUUCUAAAACAAAGUCAAGAAAACAGCUGGGUCGGCUCAUUCUAAAAGGAUAUAAUAUUACUCUGCUACAAAGUGUCUCCAACUAGAAAUGAUCAAUGAAGUGAGAAAUUACAGAGAAAGCAACAAUUUUUUUUAAAAUUUAGCUGCCCUUUGCCUAGAAUAUAGUUCUAAAGCAUUAGUUCACAUUGUUUUGAUGACCUAUGUUAUUACCAGAUGAAAAUAAAUGCUGUGGGACUCUUUUUAUUAAAAAUAAAUAAAUAAAUAAAAAUAAAAAAUGUUUGCCAGUCCCAGAUUCUGCAAGUUACCAAUUCUACUCUUUAUCUUUGAGACACUUUGCUGUGCUUUCUUUUCGUCUUGAGAUCACAUUCAGAUCUAUAAUCCAUAUGGAAUCCAUUUUCAGUAUACAGUGUGAGGUAGGGAUUUUUUUUUUUUAAGAGUCAGUAGACUCAAUACAACUUAUGGAAAAUAUCAUCCUUUCUCUCCUAAGUUUUCUUGAUGUAAUUGUCUGUCUCUGGUCUUUCCAUUCCAUUUCAUUGGUCUAAGUAUCUAUUCUUGUGUUGAUGUUAUCAAUUUUAAGUCACUGUAGCUUUAAAUCAGUCUUGAUAUCUGGAGGUAUAAGCCCCCUUUCCAUUUUGUUUUUCUUCUUUAAUAAUGCCUACAAGGGAUAUUCUUGGCCUUUUGUACUUUCAGAUACAUUUCAGAAUCAGCUGGUCAAUUUGUAUUAGAAUUUGCUAGUGUUAUGAUUGGAAUUGCACUGAAUCUAAGAAUUACUUUGGGGAAAUCAUCAUCUUAAUCAUAUUGAAUCUGCUACUACAUUGCUUUCUUCCUUUUCUCCCUCCUCCUCCUCCUUCUCCUUACCCUCAUUUUCUUCCUCCUCCUCUUCCUUUUUUCUUUUUAGUUCUGAGGAUUGAACCCGGGCCCUUUACCAGUUAGCUAUAGCCCUUUUUAUUUUUAAUUUUGAGACAGGAUCUUGCUAAGUUGCUCAGGGCCUUGCUAAAUUUCUGAGGCUGGCCUCAAACUUGGGACCUCUUGCCUCAGCCUUCCUAGUUGCUGGGAUUAUAAGCAUGUGCCACCAUGCCCGGCUCACAUUGCUUUCUUCUGAUUUGUCUUUGUUCCUAGGCAAAUUCUUCCCUAAUGGCUAAUGAAUAAUUACACAAUUUUUUUUUCCUUUUUGGUAUUGAGGAUUGAACCCAGAAGUGCUCUACCGCUGAGCUAUGUCCUCAACCCUUUUUAAUUAUAUAUAUAUAUAUAUAUAUAAUUAUAAUAUAUAUAAAUUAUAUAAUUAAUAUUUAUGUUUUUUAGUUUUAAGUGGACACAAUAUCUUUA